rnacentral:lncRNA from 1 species
UAGCAGGUAAGUGCUGUGCCACAAAUUAAUCCUUAUUUUGCUUAGAUCUUAUUUCAGUUUGGAAUAAAAUCAAGACGUCGUUACUCUUGAUUUGUCUGAAGUUUCAAGUUCUUACUGCAUGAGUUCAGAUGGAAUCCAGACUUGCUCCCCACCUGUUUACCCCACAGCGGAGUCUGAAGUGUGUUGGGAUAUCAGCAUUAAAAAAAAUCCACAUUAUUUGAUGCCUAAGCUAUUUUGUCUAUCCUGAGAAGUUAAGAUGUCCCUUUCCCUGCUGUCCUUGGAUUUCUG